AAGGUCGUAACAAGGUUUCCGUAGGUAACCUGCGGGAGGAUCAUUAAAGAAUCGCCCCGGUUUUUUCGAAACUGGGUUCUAUUCCCAAACCGUGUUUACAUACCUUUGUUGCUUUGGCAGGCCGCCGCUUAGGCGUUGGCUCCGGCUGACUGCGCCUGCCAGAGGACCCAAAUCUUGUUUCGUUUAGUGAUGUCUGAGUACUAUAUAAUAGCUAAAAU
rnacentral:misc_RNA from 1 species